AUUGAACGCUGGCGGCAGGCUUAACACAUGCAAGUCGAGCGAGCGGCGGACGGGUGAGUAAUGUCUGGGAAACUGCCUGAUGGAGGGGGAUAACUACUGGAAACGGUAGCUAAUACCGCAUACCAUCAGAUGUGCCCAGAUGGGAUUAGCUAGUAGGUGGGGUAAUGGCUCACCUAGGCGACGAUCCCUAGCUGGUCUGCGAGGAUGACCGUCCACAUGGGAACGGAGACACGGUCCAGAAUCCUACGGGAGGCAGCAUUGGGGAAUAUUGCACAAUGGGCGCAAGCCUGAUGCAGCCAUGCCGCGUGUGUGAAGAAGGCCUUCGGGUUGUAAAGCAAUUUCAGCGGGGAGGCGUUACCCGCAGAAGAAGCACCGGCUAACUCCGUGCCAGCCGCCGCGGUAAUUC
rnacentral:rRNA from 1 species